UACGUAGGGUGCGAGCGUUGUCCGGAUUUAUUGGGCGUAAAGAGCUCGUAGGCGGCUUGUUGCGUCAGCUGUGAAAACCCGCAGCUCAACUGUGGGCUUGCAGCUGAUACGGGCAGACUAGAGUUCGGUAGGGGAGUCUGGAAUUCCUGGUGUAGCGGUGGAAUGCGCAGAUAUCAGGAGGAACACCGAUGGCGAAGGCAGAUCUCUGGGCCAUUACUGACGCUGAGGAGCGAAAGCGUGGGGAGCGAACAGG
rnacentral:rRNA from 1 species